AAAAAAAAAAAACCUGUCUCGAGGAGGCGGCGUUUAGAAACAUCAUCUCCACUAGUCCUUCUGUUCGCUCUGAGCAGCUCCAGACGGAAAUCUUCUCGCCUCCUGAAGGGUUUUUGUGACAUAAACAAAUACUUUGUAACCAAAAUAAUGACGCAGUAGCACACAGGACACAGUUUGUCCCAAGUCUGAGAAUGGCAGAAAGAAAGAGAAAACCAGCUCCUUCAAUGAAACCACUCAGCAAAAAAGAGCAAGAAGAGCUGAAGAAAAAGGAAGUAGAGAAAGCAGCAGAGGUUUUUGAAGAAUUUGUGGCAUCAUUUGGGGCCAAUGACGAAAGAAAAAACAAGACUUUUGUGCGAGGGGGAAUCGUGAAUGCAA